rnacentral:rRNA from 1 species
AGAGUUUGAUCAUGGCUCAGGACGAACGUUGGCGGCGUGCCUAACACAUGCAAGUCGAGCGAUGAAACCCUUCGGGGUGGAUUAGCGGCGGACGGGUGAGUAACACGUGGGUAACCUACCUCAAAGAGGGGAAUAGCCUCCCGAAAGGGAGAUUAAUACCGCAUAAUAUGUUUUGAUCGCAUGACCGAGACAUCAAAGGAUUUUCUUCGGAAAUUCCACUUUGAGAUGGACCCGCGGCGCAUUAGCUAGUUGGUGAGGUAACGGCCCACCAAGGCAACGAUGCGUAGCCGACCUGAGAGGGUGAUCGGCCACAUUGGAACUGAGACACGGUCCAGACUCCUACGGGAGGCAGCAGUGGGGAAUAUUGCGCAAUGGGGGAAACCCUGACGCAGCAACGCCGCGUGAAUGAUGAAGGCCUUCGGGUUGUAAAGUUCUGUCUUCUGGGACGAUAAUGACGGUACCAGAGGAGGAAGCCACGGCUAACUACGUGCCAGCAGCCGCGGUAAUACGUAGGUGGCAAGCGUUGUCCGGAUUUACUGGGCGUAAAGGAUGCGUAGGCGGACAUUUAAGUCAGAUGUGAAAUACCCGAGCUUAACUUGGGCGCUGCAUUUGAAACUGGGUGUCUAGAGUGCAGGAGAGGUAAGUGGAAUUCCUAGUGUAGCGGUGAGAUGCGUAGAGAUUAGGAAGAACACCAGUGGCGAAGGCGACUUACUGGACUGUAACUGACGCUGAGGCAUGAAAGCGUGGGGAGCAAACAGGAUUAGAUACCCUGGUAGUCC